rnacentral:rRNA from 1 species
AUUGAACGCUAGCGGGAUGCUUUACACAUGCAAGUCGAACGGCAGCGCGGACUUCGGUCUGGCGGCGAGUGGCGAACGGGUGAGUAAUGUAUCGGAACGUGCCCAGUAGCGGGGGAUAACUACGCGAAAGCGUAGCUAAUACCGCCUACGCCCUACGGGGGAAAGCAGGGGAUCGUAAGACCUUGCACUAUUGGAGCGGCCGAUAUCGGAUUAGCUAGUUGGUGAGGUAACGGCUCACCAAGGCGACGAUCCGUAGCUGGUUUGAGAGGACGACCAGCCAAACUGGGGCGGAGACACGGCCCAGACUCCGACGGGAGGCAGCAGUGGGGAAUUUUGGACAAUGGGGGCAACCCUGAUCCAGCCAUCCCGCGUGUGCGAUGAAGGCCUUCGGGUUGUAAAGCACUUUUGGCAGGAAAGAAACGUCGCGGGCUAAUACCCCGUGGAACUGACGGGACCUGCAGAAUAAGCACCGGCUAACUACGC